rnacentral:pre_miRNA from 1 species
AAUAUACUCCCUCCGUUCCGAAUUACUUGUCUUAGAUUUGUCUAGAUACGGAGGUAUCUAGCACUAAAAUAAGUCUAGAUACAUCCGUAUCUAGACAAAUCCAAGACAAGUAAUUCGGAACGGAGGGAGUACAAG